UACGAAGGGGGCUAGCGUUGUUCGGAUUUACUGGGCGUAAAGGGAGCGUAGGCGGACAUUUAAGUCAGGGGUGAAAUCCCGGAGCUUAACUUCGGAACUGCCUUUGAUACUGGGUGUCUUGAGUGUGAGAGAGGUAUGUGGAACUCCGAGUGUAGAGGUGAAAUUCGUAGAUAUUCGGAAGAACACCAGUGGCGAAGGCGACAUACUGGCUCAUUACUGACGCUGAGGCUCGAAAGCGUGGGGAGCAAACAGG
rnacentral:rRNA from 1 species